rnacentral:lncRNA from 1 species
UUUUUUUUUGUUUUCUCUUUUGUUUGGGACUUUUCUCUUUUUUAUGGCCUAUUUUUUCUUUUUCUUUUUAUUUUUCGUCAGGAGUCUCAUCCCGACUUGUGGGGGAAUCAUAGUCUCCAUCAUCCUUUCCUCACUAGGACAAUGCUUGAAUAAUGAAGAUCAUCACACUUUUAUUUACUUACAACUCAAGAAUUACAACUCGAUACUUAGAACAAAAUAUGACUCUAUAUGAAUGCCUCCGGCGGUGUACCGGGAUGUGCAAUGAAUCAAGAGUGACAUGUAUGAAAGAAUUAUGAAAGGUGGCUUUGCCACAAAUACGAUGUCAACUACAUGAUGAUACAAAGCAAUAUGACAAUGAUGAAGCGUGUCGUAAUAAACAGAACAGUGGAAAGUUGCAUGGCAAUAUAUCUCUGAAUGGCUAUGGAAUAUGCCAUAAUAGGUAGGUAUGGUGGCUGUUUUGAGGAAGGUAUGGUGGGUGUAUGGUACCGGCGAAAGUUGUGCGGCACAAGAGAGGCUAGCAAUGGUGGAAGGGUGAGAGUGCGUAUAAUCCAUGGACUCAAUAUUAGUCAUAAAGAACUCACAUACUUAUUGUAAAAAUCUAUUAGUUAUCGAAACGAAGUACUACACGCAUGCUCCCAGGGGGUAGAUUGGUAGGAAAAGACCAUCGCUCGUCCCCGACCGCCACUCAUAAGGAAGACAAUCAAAAAAUAAAUCAUGCUCCGACUUCAUCACAUAACGGUUCUCCAUACGUGCAUGCUACGGGAAUCACAAACUUUAACACAAGUAUCUCUCAAAUUCACAACUACUCAACUAGCAUGACUCUAAUAUCACCAUCUUCAUAUCUCAAAACAAUCAUAAGGAGUCAAACUUCUCAUAGUAUUUAAUGCACUUUAUAUGAAAGUUUUUAUUAUAUCUCUCUUGGAUACCCAUCAUAUUAGGACUAGUUUUAUAACCCAAGCAAAUUACCAUGCUGUUUAAGACUCUCAAAAUAAUAUAAUUGAAUCAUGAGAGUUCAUCUAUUUCUUUAAAGUAAAACCACCGAUGUGCUCUAAAAAGAUAUAAGUGAGGCACUAGAGCAAAUGACAAACUACUCCAAAAGAUAUGAGUGAAAAUCAAUGAGUAGUCGAAUAAUUAUGUAACUAUGUGAAGACUCUCUAACAUUUAAGAAUUUCAUAUCUUGGGAUUUUAUUCAAACAGAAAGCAAAACAAAAUAAAAUAAAAUGACGCUCCAAGCAAAACACAUAUCAUGUGGUGAAUAAAAAUAUGGCUCCAAGUAAGGUUACCGAUGAACGAAGACGAAAGAGGGGGUGCCAUCCGGGGCAUCCCCAAGCUUAGGCUCUUGGUUGUCCUUGAAUAUUACCUUGGGGUGCCUUGGGCAUCCCCAAGCUUAGGCUCUUGCCACUCCUUAUUCCAUAGCCCAUCGAAUCUUUACCCAAAACUUGAAAACUUCACAACACAAAACUUAACAGAAAACUCGUAAGCUCCGUUAGUAUAAGAAAAUAAAUCACCACUUAGGUACUGUUGUGAACUCAUUCUAAAUUCAUAUUGGUGUAAUAUCUACUGUAUUCCAACUUCUGUAUGGUUCAUACCCUCCGAUACUACUCAUAGAUUCAUCAAAAUAAGCAAACAACACAAUGAAAACAGAAUCUGUCAAAAAUAGAACAGUCUGUAGUAAUCUGUAACUCUCGAAUACUUCUGUAACCCCAAAAAUUCUGAAAUAAAUUGGUGGACCUGAGGAAUUUGUCUAUUAAUAUUCUGCAAAAAUAAUCAACUUAAAAGCACUCUUCUGUAAAAAAAAUGGCAGCUAAUCUCAUGAGCGCAAAGUUUCUGUUUUUUACAGCAGGAUCACAUUAACUUUCACCCAAGUCUUCCCAAAGGUUCUACUUGGCACUUUAUUGAAACAAAAGCUAUAAAACAUGAUUACUACAGUAGCUUAAUCAUGUGAACACACAAAAACAGUAGGGGUAAAUAAUGGGUUGUCUCCCAACAAGCGCUUUUCUUUAAUGCCUUUUAGCUAGGCAUGAUGAUUUCAAUGAUGCUCGCAUAAAAGAUAAGAAUUGAAACAUAAAGAGAGCAUCAUGAAGCAUAUUACUAACACAUUUAAUUCUAACCCACUUCCUAUGCAUAGGGAUUUUGUGAGCAAACAACUUAGGGGAACAAUAAUCAACUAGCAUAGGAAGGCAAAACAAGCAUAACUUUAAAACUUUAAGCACAUAGAGAGGAAACUUGAUAUUAUUGCAAUUCCUAAAAGCAUAUAUUCCUCCCUCAUAAUAAUUUUCAGUAUCAUCAUGAAUGAAUUCAACAAUAUAACUAUCGCAUAAAGCAUUCUUUUCAUGAGCCACAAGCAUAGAAUUUUUAUUACUCUCCACAUAAGCAAAUUUCUUCUCAUGAAUAGAAGUGGGAGCAAACUCAACAAAAUAACUAUCAUGUGAGGCAUAAUCCAAUUGAAAAUUAAAAUCAAGAUGACAAGUUUCAUGGUUACCAUUAUUCUUUAUAGCAUACAUGUCAUCACAAUAAUCAUCAUAGAUAGCAACUUUGUUCUCAUAAUCAAUUGGAACCUUUUCCGAAAUAGUGGAUUCAUCACUAAAUAAAGCCAUGACCUCUCCAAAUCCACUUUCAUCAAUAUAAUCAUCAUAAAUAGGAGGCAUGCUAUCAUCAAAAUAAAUAUUCUCAUCAAAACUUGGGGGACUAAAAAUAUCAUCUUCAUCAAACAUAGCAUCCCCAAGCUUGCGGCUUUGCAUAUCAUUAGCAUCAUGGAUAUUCAAAGAAUUCACACUAACAACAUUGCAAUCAUGCUCAUCAUUCAAGUAUUUAGUGCCAAACAUUUUAAUGCAUUCUUCUUCUAGCACUUCGGCACAAUUUUCCUUUCCAUCAUUUUCACGAAAGAUAUUAAAAAGAUGAAGCAUAUGAGGCACCCUCAAUUCCAUUUUUUUGUAGUUUUCUUUUAUAAACUAAACUAGUGAUAAAACAAGAAACUAAAAGAUUCGAUUGCAAGAUCUAAAGAUAUACCUUCAAGCACUAACCUCCCCAGCAACGGCGCCAGAAAAGAGCUUGAUGUCUAUUACACAACCUUCUUCUUGUAGACGUUGUUGGGCCUCCAAGUGCAGAGGUUUGUAGGACAGUAGCAAAUUUCCCUCAAGUGGAUGACCUAAGAUUUAUCAAUCGGUGGGAGGCGUAGGGUGAAGAUGGUCUCUCUCAAACAACCCUGCAACCAAAUAACAAAGAGUCUCUUGUGUCCCCAACACAUCCAAUACAAUGGUAAAUUGUAUAGGUGCACUAGUUCGGCGAAGAGAUGGUGAUACAAGUGCAAUAUGGAUGGUAGAUAUAGGUUUUUGUAAUCUGAAAAUAUAAAAACAGCAAGGUAGCAAGAGGUAAAAGUGAGCGUAAACGGUAUUGCAAUGCUAGGAAACAAGGCCUAGGGUUCAUACUUUCACUAGUGCAAGUUCUCUCAACAAGGAUAACAUAACUGGAUCAUAUAACUAUCCCUCAACAUGCAACAAAGAGUCACUCCAAAGUCACUAAUAGCAUAGAACAAACGAAGAAAUUAUUAUAGGGUAUGAAACCACCUUAAAGUUAUUCUUUCCGAUCAAUCCAUUGGGCUAUUCCUAUAAGUGUCACAAACAACUCUAGAGUUCGUAGUAAAAUAACACCUUAAGACACACAUCAACCAAAACCCUAAUGUCACCUCAAGUAUCCGCGGGUAUGAUUAUCCGAUAUGCAUCACACAAUCUCAGAUUCAUCUAUUCAAACCAACACAAAGAACUUCAAAGAGUGCCCCAAAGUUUCUACCAGAGAGUCAAGACGAAAACGUGUGCCAACCCCUAUGCAUAGAUUCCCAAGGUCACGGAACCCGCAAGUUGAUCACCAAAACAUACAUCAAGUGAAUCAAUAGAAUACCCCAUUGUCACCACAGGUAUCCCACGCAAGACAUACAUCAAAUGUUCUCAAAUCCUUAAAGACUCAAUCUGAUAAGAUAACUUCAAAGGGAAAAACUCAAUCCAUUACAAGAGAGUAGAGGGGGAAAACAUCAUAAGAUCCAACUAUAAUAGCAAAGCUCACGAUACAUCAAGAUCGUGCCAUAUCAAGAACACGAGAGAGAGAGAGAGAGAGAGAGAGAGAGAUCAAACACAUAGCUACUGGUACGUACCCUCAGCCUCGAGGGCGAACUACUCCCUCCUCGUCAUGGAGAGCGCCGGGAUGAUGAAGAUGGCCACCGGUGAUGGAUCCCCCCUCCGGUAGGGUGCCGGAACAGGGUCCUGAUUGGUUUUUGCUGGCUAGAGAGGCUUGCGGCGGCGGAACUCCCGAUCUAGGUUUCUUUCUGGGGGUUUCUGUAUUUAUAGGAAUUUUUGGCAUCGGUCUCACGUCAGGGGGGUCUCCGAGUCAUCCACGAGAUAGGGGCGCGCCCUCCACCCUCGUGGAUGGCUCGGGACUCUUCUGGCCCAACUCUUUUACUCCGGGGGCCUCUUUUGGUCCAUAAAAAAUGAUCAAAAAUUGGCACGUCAAUUGGACUCCAUUUGGUAUUCCUUUUCUGUAAAACUCAAAAACAAGGAAAAAAACAGAAACUGGCACUGGGCUCUAGGUUAAUAAAUUAGUCCCAAAAAUCAUAUAAAACAGCAUAUAAAUGCAUAUAAAACAUCCAAGAUGGAUAAUAUAAUAGCACGGAACAAUCAAAAAUUAUAGAUACGUUGGAGACGUAUCACUGCCACCACCGGCAAGCCGAGCAAAGAUUUCACCCUGGCCUUUGUCUAAGAAAUCCCAAACCGCCGGGGUAGACUUCAGAGAGGAUGAAGUCGAGACACAGGCCGAAGCCGCCAAUUGCAGGAAGGGAGCAACGCCCGCCGCCGAAGCCGGCAUAAAAAACCAUCGAAAGAGCGAGCUACAGAUCUGAGAGAAGGGGUGAGGGCAUAUGUGAGCGGGUUUGGGUGGCCGAGAAAAGGGGAAUGCGACAGCGAAGGGGAUGCAACGUUGGCCGACACGUCGACAGGCCAAGAUCUGGAGAGGAGCACAACUCCGGAGCAUGUCGGGUAUAGAGCCGCGCCAGCGUGGACCCCAGUCGGCCAUGAACACAUGAGGGGACGCUGGUCCAUGGCUACAAGGGGUUGUAGCCUGAGCACACUCAAGAGGGAAGAGGACCGCCAUGGAAAGCUUGCGCACCCGCCACGCCAUCCUAUCGACGUACUACGAAGGCAGCUGCCAUCGAGGUACCACGAAGGGGGGAGGGCGCCGCAUCCCAAGGGCAUCCCAGACCAGCCCGCGAGGAGCAGCCAGGAGUAGAUGUGGAUUGGUGGCGCACGUGGUGGUGGCGGAUCCACAUCUACUCUUGAAGGAAACCUCAAGUGAAGAACUUUUAAGCCUCCUUUGGUUUGUAGGAAUUUUAUAAGAAUCCCAUAGGAUAGGAUUUGUAUAGGAAAAAAUCCUUUAGAGCCCUUUGAUUUGUAGGAAUAGAACCCUAUUCCUAUGGUGGAAUUCUUCCUAUCCUCCACCUUUUCUAGGAAAAUAAACAUUACCUAGACUCAAUGGAAAAAAUCCUACGAUGUAAACCAAAGGGCAUCUUCUUUUCUAUUCCUAUUCAUAGGAUUUCAGAUACAUGUCAUCUCAUUUCCUAUGACUUUCUUAUUACUAUGACUUUCCUAUUUAGAUACAUUAUAAUUGUGUACAUUCUGAGGCCUCUCAUGCAGCCCGGUUUUUCAGCCAUCCGAUCCAGAUCUUUCGACUUCCUGACCAUGGAUUCGUGCAUACUUCCUGGCUGGGCCCUGGACUGGUCGUUCGCUGCAAAAGGGGGCUGCAAACUGAAUCGAUGUGUGGUGUGCAGCUGCUCCGGUAGCAAAAUAUGAGUAUUCUGGUUGAUUGGGCCGCUUCUUCGAUUGGGUGGCCCAUUUUCUUGUUCGAUUGCCUGCGGACGCCACUCGUGAGAGAGGCAGGCGAUUCAUCAAGGGCCGCGCUGUUUGUUGUCCUUAAUGGUUCGCUUAAUGGCAUGAUGGCAGCCGAAGAGCGUCGGCCGCCUGUUCGCUUUCCGGCCAAUAAUAGUGUGGGAGGCGGCGGGUGGGUCGCUCGAUGCCCUUCCACCUCCUCCAUACCUUGAUGACCCUACUAAUUCGUACCCUAGAGCACAUCAUCUCUUCUUCUCCAUGCUCCGCACAACAGCGAUAUUCUCUUCUCAGCGACUGGUGACGACGGAUUCAGAUUUCAUGGUGGCUUCUCUCGAGGGCGGGGCGUCGACCCGUUGGCUGGGCAGCUGGGAUUGCUGCUAACCCACCCGAGUUCAAGUCCUGGCUUGGACGCACGGUGCUCGCGGAGUUUCUCCUAUAAAAAAUGCCAACGAGAGUUAACCCUUGGGUUGGUCUCUUUUUUUUUAUGGUGGCUUCCCUCACCAGUGGACUGCUCAUGACUCGGCAAGAUAGGGAGUGAGAAAGGACAGACAGUUUGUCACCACCGCUGUUUCUAACAUAUCCCCCCUUCCACCACUGCCUUGCGCCGCCCGGAUCCCAUCCUUGCCACCAUUCCCACUUUGGGAGAUGAACGCGCGGAAAGAAGGUACAUGAGGCGCUUGUCCAAUUUUUCUUUUGCUACCUCUUAGAUUUGAUCUACGGAACGCCAUGGGGGCUAGGCGGAUUUGUGAGGGCUCGUGACCACAAGCCUCUGUUGCAGACUCUCCUUGCAAAGGAAAAAAAUCUCUGGAGUCGAGGCCGCCGCAACAGAGGAAUCAAAAAAGUGAUGAUGCUUGAUGCACAUCAGACGAUGCCAAGUCUCUUUCACAGUCUUUCUGAGGUCGUUGCAACACAAUGAGGAUUAGAGUAUUCUCUUUGAAGGUAUUUUCAUUACUGAUACUCACAUAUCCGUCCUUGUUCUGUCAUUUUAACAUCUUUGUGCAUUGGCGCGAGCCUCACUUUGAGUUUUUCUUAAUUCUAAUUUGUUGCCCGCAGUAUGUGAUCUUCAUAAUUGACAUUCCUCAUCCGAAGUAUAAGCCCAUCAUGCAAAACAAGGGAAAGAAUAAAGCAGCUGAUAUAGUAGUACUAACUACUGAUAUUGGCAACUUUGUACAUGAUGUACGCUCCUUGAGUUUAUUGGUAUUCUUCUGCAGGUAUCAAGAAAAUUAAACGUUCUGUAAAAAGAGAUUAAGUACUUCAGGGCAUAACAGAUCAAAAUGGUGGCGCGCCGAUCUGUUCAAAUGGUAGCACUUCGCUGAUGUUGGCGCAGCUACCCUUAUACGGGCGUUGGAUUGGACUGACUUCAGCUCUUCAGAGUGACCGAGUACUACAUACAUACAUGGGUGUGGGCCUCCCCUGCGGAUCCUUGCUACAGCGAAUGAAAAUUGCAGGCAGACAAACACUUGAUGGAACAGGUUGGCUCGAGAAAAGAUGGACAUGCCCAUAUGUCCUUUUAAUUUGUGGGAGGAGGCAGUGGGUCUCCAAAUUCAGAACUUAAUUGUUAACCAUCUCUUGGUUAGUAAUAUUAAAACAUAAAUAACUUCCCAUGUGAUUUCAGGUGAAUGAGAGGACCGUGAAGCUUACAGAGGCUAUGAAAUCUAUGGCGAUCUGAUGUCACAGAGCAGCGUCUGAGCUCUUGAUCACUCGAGUAAACAGCCAUCAAAAAUUAGCGAACUGUGAGUGCUACCUGCACUAUCCAACUGUUACAAUGAACUAUGUUGUUCAGUCCAUCCUUGUGGUGUUGUAAUUUGUAAUUAGUUCUUGGAUCGGUUAUUUUAGAUGGACUACACCAUUAUGUACUAAUUUUCCCUAAACCAAGUUGUGAUAUUUUCUUAUGGAUUUCUAAGCAAAUUGCAAUGGUUGGUAGUACUUAGCCACUUGAUUCUACCAAUAUCUGUUUCAGAAUUUUGAUUUUAGAAGCUUAUUUGCUCCCCUACUAUAGAUGAACCCCAUAAUGAUUCAGAUGGUAUCACAUACAAUCAUCCAAACUCUAUUCCAAAGCAAAGUACUUGGAUUGCUAUUAAAUAAAGGGGUUGUUCUGUUGAUUAUUUUUUUCAAUUUUUCAUGGAAGAUAUGGUGUGACUUCAAAUACAUUUACAUUUGAUUGGAUGGAUAUUUUUUCAGCAUUAAACAUGGGUAAUAUAUUGACGAUUCAUGCUUGAACUCACAAACAAGCUGAGUUCUUUUGCAAUUUUAGUUUUUUAGGUCAUUUAAAGGGUUGUGAACAUUACAUUGGAAUUUAGUUACAGCUUCUGGUCCUCCACAUUGUUAGAAAAAAAACCUCCGUCAAGACUGCUUUAUUGCUAUUUAAGGUGUAAUACUACAAUGUUUUUAGAGCUUAGCGUUCAUUGAAUCUUUAUAUUCAUGAAUAAAUAUGUGUAUCCCUUGCAAUAUGUAGUACAUAUACAUAACUUGAAGAUUUAAAUUCCAUGUUCAGCAAUAUAUUAUGGAAUACUAUCUUAUCGCAAAAAUAGAUUAAUGGUCUAGUCCUAUGAACAAAAGGAGGCUUUAAAGAGUUGUUGACAAGUAGCACUACAUUCGACAACCAAUAUUAGAAGACGAUUAUCAAGCGAAACGCAUGCCAGUCCAAAGGAUAUUGUCGCAUUACUAGAGACAUGGUAUUACAUCCAGAACGCUGGCUUGACUAGCCACCGGUACAUAAGCUUCCAUCUUCCAUACACCACCUAACCAGUUACUAAAAGCUUCUACCAAGCCACCUGAUAUUUUCGUUUCUUCACAAAAUAAUCUACAACUAACCUAGUCGCAUGGGUUCGCCAUUAACAAGUCAGACAGCCAAGUGGAAUCGGAAUGUCCUCCAUGACCCUUUACCAUCAGCCAAACCAAAAUAGAAGAAAUCAGUGGCGCGCAGGAUAUAUUAGUUCACCACCCCCUGUUACAUCAGAGACAUAGUGCAAAGCUGUGAGCCGAACACCAACACAAAAUGUAAAUACAAUAAAGCUUGGAAUGCAAUAAAAUGAAGUUUUCGCACCAAAAGGUUAACGAGAAACAUGGUAGUGCUUUGGACUCUCGAGGUUUCCAGAUAAUCCAUAGAUUAAGCUAGUUCUUUACUUACGGUUGUCAGCUCAAUUUCUGAAAAAUGCAUGCGGUGAAAUUCAACCGAUAGCAAGAGGUGGACCAAGCGGUGUCCAUUGUCCAAUGAACAAUGUUCAUCCAGUUCCUAUUAGAGCUAGCAUAAUGAAGGGUCCUCAUUUGUGUAGUACAUUUUUCUUAUCUUGGUUGCUGCUAGAGUAAAGGACAAGAAGAUAAAGGGUGUAACUUGCCUGGGGGGGUCAUAUGAAAAAUGUACCAUGUUGAACCUGCCUACACAUCUAGGUCAUCAAACUCAUAGAAUUGUAUCACAAAAAUUCUAGUUUAAUUGGCAAAGAACGGCAAAUCACUUUUACUCACUAAAAUGCUAUUUGACCAUGCAAGUCUGAUGAUAUUGGAUCCGAGGGGAGUUCUAAUAAAUGUUUGGACAGAUUAUACUAGCUUUCACAUUAAGGUAAUUCAUAAAAAAAACUAAAAAAAGUUAAUCAGAUUUCGAAUAAAUUAGGUCGAAUAGCAGCACAAAUUGAUAGUCCAACUCGGCUUUCACCUGCCUUGACUCACCUAAAGAAGUAUAAGAACCUACAUAUGCAAUUCUCCAGGUUAGGGACCCAAACAUGUCACAACCAUGAAACUUUUGGAUCUAGACUUGAAGCAAGAUUAAGGAGCUAGUUGAUUAUUCAGACAGCAAGCUUCUCAUCCUCUCCUCCACACAGCACUAUAGCGCCCAAUUUUAUUUUGAAAACCUUAAUUACUCGUGGUUCAAGGGUUCACAUCAAGCUAUUUUGAAAUAAACUAUUAUUCUCUGGUCUAACAAUGCCGCUGCUUUAACUGAAUUUACUUCAAGACCAGUACCAAGCUAAUGGUAUAUUCUUUUUGUGCCAAAAUAUUCUCUUGAAUUAUCGGUAUUCAUAUAGCCAUACUAACAUAGUACAGAGGCCAACUAAAUCUUCGGAUAAUGAUGAUGCUAUAAGCCUAUAUGUAGGACCAAUUAGUUUAACUCGAGAACUUGAGAAUGCAAUUAUUUCAACUCCAGAUUUUUUACCGCUUUCGCUUUCCAAUACUAUUAGGACUACAAUAUAUCAUUUGUGUCCUUUUUCAUGGUGUAACUAAACAGUCCAUAUAUGCACAGUACCAAUCCAGCAUAGUCUUGGAUGGCCAACUGUUUAAUUGUAUCAGUGUACAUUUUAGGUGGUAAUGAUCUCGGUCUUUUCAGAACUAGCGGGGUGAUAUACUAUUGGGCUAUGGCAUAUAUAGAUAGGCGACAAUACCGAUAAAAAGAUUUGAUUGAUAAUUUGACAUGGACGGAUGAAUAAGCAUAGAUGGACAGAACCUAGAAUCACUAAACACUUUUGUUUUGCAGUACUUGGAAAAUUGAGAGAUCAUAAGGUAGAGGGACAUCAAUCAAGAAAUCGUCAUCAAACUGUGAUGUUUUGGUUGUGUAUUAAAUUUAUCAUACCUUUUUUUUGGCAGUGGUCCCUCUUCGAUAAUAAAAAAUGGAUUCGACAAUAACCAUAUCCAUGAGUUUGCUGCAAUGCUUGCUUACUCAACUAACCUUAAUAUUAGUGUGCUACAACUCAUUUCUCUGAGAUGACAUAAUGUAGGAAGACAAGUAAUUAUGUGCAUGUUGUCCUAUACAUUUCCAUGCCAUGUUAGCAUUUACUUAAUCAUGAACAAUGGUAGUGCAUAUGUGUCCUUCAAGAGUCCAACUACCUUUACUUCAGCUAAUGCUUCUCAAGAUUAGGUAAUUGUUACAAUUCUACAACAUCUGGUAUGUGUUCGAGUAAUAAGCUUACAAAGAAAAAGUGGGAAGCUACUUAGAAGAUCACCAUGUUUUAUGUGUCAAGUGCCUGAUAUAUUCAGAAAGAUAUGUCCUUAUUUAAAAGAGGAUUGCACUGUGAUAUUUUUGUUGCUCCAAAGUGACCAAUAGCCAUGCAUAACAAGUAUUUUAGAUAUAUAUUUUUGGUUCUCCAAUAUCAGCCAUGAGAGCCUUUAAUCUCUAUUGCAAAGACCGACUUCGAUCAGUGUAGAGCAACUGAUCAAUCAGUCGAUCGAUGAUAGUGCAAUAUCUAUCUAAAGACUGCAUGCCAUGGUUNNNNNNNNNNNNNNNNNNNNNNNNNNNNNNNNNNNNNNNNNNNNNNNNNNNNNNNNNNNNNNNNNNNNNNNNNNNNNNNNNNNNNNNNNNNNNNNNNNNNNNNNNNNNNNNNNNNNNNNNNNNNNNNNNNNNNNNNNNNNNNNNNNNNNNNNNNNNNNNNNNNNNNNNNNNNNNNNNNNNNNNNNNNNNNNNNNNNNNNNNNNNNNNNNNNNNNNNNNNNNNNNNNNNNNNNNNNNNNNNNNNNNNNNNNNNNNNNNNNNNNNNNNNNNNNNNNNNNNNNNNNNNNNNNNNNNNNNNNNNNNNNNNNNNNNNNNNNNNNNNNNNNNNNNNNNNNNNNNNNNNNNNNNNNNNNNNNNNNNNNNNNNNNNNNNNNNNNNNNNNNNNNNNNNNNNNNNNNNNNNNNNNNNNNNNNNNNNNNNNNNNNNNNNNCAGGAUUGCGAUGUUUUUUAAUGGAAUGGACUCAUUUUUCUUGCUAGAUUUUUAACCAUAAUUACUAUUUGCACUUCAAAACAUUAUUACCACAGUAUAGUUAGCCUUGAUGUUGCCUUAUUUGUAUGACCAGUUGUAUGCAACUAUGCAUAUGUACAAGUAUUUUAUUAUUAUUCCAUUCAGUAUUUUAUUAUGCUGCUAGUUACUUGUCUCAAAUUAGUACUGCUAAUGGUUUUUAUCAUUAGGAUCUAUUUUCAAGUUUUAACAUGGAUAUUUUUGCCCUUGUUUUCCCCUUGCUGCCCAAAUGGAAACAGGUGUAUUUUCUCAUGUGUGGAGAUCCUCCGCGUGGUGGGAGGGGAUCCAUCCCCCUGCGCUCACAAAAGCUCCCCCUAGGGGUUUAUUGCCCUGGGUUUAUCUUCCACAACAACCAAAUGAAGCCAAUAUGAAGGAAACUAUGCCGCAAAAGGAAAAUAAUAAAACCACAUCUCAUACCUUCAUACNNNNNNNNNNNNNNNNNNNNNNNNNNNNNNNNNNNNNNNNNNNNNNNNNNNNNNNNNNNNNNNNNNNNNNNNNNNNNNNNNNNNNNNNNNNNNNNNNNNNNNNNNNNNNNNNNNNNNNNNNNNNNNNNNNNNNNNNNNNNNNNNNNCUUGGGAACCUAUGUGAGCAGACGGACAAGCUUCUCACUAAUCUUUGCCUUGGGUGCAUGUACCUUGGCGGCCAUCCGUGCCUGGAUCUUCACCUCUGUGGACCUAAUUCUCUCCAGCUUCUUCUGCAUGUAGAGGGCUCUCUUGGCAUCUAGUCUGGUGAACAAGCUUUUGACGGCAGGUUGCACCUCCGCGAGCAUCUUCACCUCCAGCCCAAGCAGAGGAUACACCUCACACAUUUCCUCGAAGCUCCUGGUGUGAGUCUGGCCGCUGCUGCCAUUCUCAGCCCUCACCAUGGCACCCUCAGCCUCAGCCUGUUUGCUGCCAUUAAUAGGGCCAUCGGUCACUUGCAAGUCUCCCCAAACAUCUUCAGAGAGACUGUCAAGGCGCUUAUCAUGGUCCGUGAUAGACAAGAUGUGUGAUUUCUAGCGACGCAGCAGGGUGCGAACUUUCUCCUUGACAACAAAGUAAUGGCAGCUGCUGUCCUCAAGGCGCUUGGCAACAGAUUCAAAGAAGGCGUAGUCCCCCCACGCCGGCACCUUCCCAUGCUGGCGGCGGUGCUCGGCAAGCUCCUCCAGAAUCAGGACCUCGUCGUUGGGAGACCAUAUGCGCCUGCUUUUCCUUUGUUUGGGUUCUGCCGAUCCGAUAUGUUGCGGCUUCUUCUUCUCGCCAUUUUGAUGCACUGGUGCCCGCGCCGGCGUCUUUCCCCUCUUGCGAGCAGGCAACUUGUUUGAUUGAGGUGGAUUCUUGGCCGCGGGCUGCAGACCAGGCUCUGCCUCCCACUCGCCUCCAUCCUCCGUCGAUUCCUCCCCCUCCCCCUCGCCCCCAUCCUCUGCCGGCUCCUCCGAUUCCGAUUCCCCCAUUUCCUCGUCUGCCACCUCUUGGUCGUGGGAGGUAGAGGAACCGCUCGAGUCUUCUUCCGAACUGGAGGCGGGAUCUGCUGUGGCGGGGCGCUUGCGUGGGGUUGCGGGAGGCUUGCGUGGGGCGGCGCGCUUGGGGGCCAUGGCUAGUGGCGGCUACGGCGAGGUGUCGAGGAAGGCGAGCCGAUGGGAGACCGGUUGGGUUUGGUUAGAUCUGGAGCGCCGCCCAAUAGACAAGCACGGCAGCGAGGAGCUACUAGUCUUUUUUUCUUUUGGAGAACGAGGAGCUACUAGUCACUGGUCUAGCGCCAGCGUCCCCCGAACUUCAAAUUGCCAAAUUUUAGGGGAUUCGAAAUAUUAAGAGCAUCUUACACUUCCCCAAAGACCGUUUUCUAAUUUAAGCUAGAUUAGAGCAUCAUAAUGUGGAUGUAAAAAUCAGGCUGCAGGUGGGACUGUAGAUGGGAAUCACACCACAAUCCACCAGGUCCCAAUACAGUUUGGUGUUAAAAAAGUGGGCAUCCCACCAAAACAAACAUAGAUUAAGCGAAAAUAAGUGGGAUUCCCACUUAACAAAGCAGAGCAAUUUACUUAGCAGCAAUACGCCACUACCGUGCAAUAUGGUCACAUCCCGAGACACAUUCAGAGCAGCAUGCAUCCACCACCUCCAGCGCGCCCCAGCACCGGCUCUCUUGGUCGCACCGUUAGUGCCUUGGAGCUCGCCACCGUCGAAGCCGGCAUGGUUGCUAUUUGAUUUCAGAAAUGAAAUAGGGGAGCUGGGCUCCUUCACUCGAAAAAAAACUGAAAGAACGAUCUCCGUGCACGCAAAGGCAUCGAUGGUGUUCUUGGCGGCGUGUCUGAACGCGUCGAUGACGCCGGGCGCAUCCUCGACUGCCACCCUCCUCAGCGAUGUGAGCUCCUCGUCGCGGCCGUCAAAGCUCAUCUGGGGGCUCACCUAAUGCCUUUGCCUGACGGCGUCGCCGGCAUCGGCUGCGGCGUGCCAGAGCUGUCCGAAGAAGAUGUCGCCCUUAGCAUGCACAUCGUCCACCACGAGCUUCCAUGCUCGAACUGCUCUGGCGCCCAGAUCCCUGGCAUGUCCCUGAACGACAACGACUCCUCGUCCUGCAGCGCCGGCGUGACGCGAGUGGCAUCGGUGAUGAGGAGGCUGCCGGAGGUGGCACGGUGUGAGGAGGAAGAAGCAGGGGCGCGAUGGCGGACCGGCGGCGGUGGGAGCAAGCUGUGGCACCACCCUCUCUCUACUCAUUCGGGCACGACCUACCAAGGUCGAUGUCUAGCUAAUAGGGCAAGGUGGGCUCCCAAUGGGAUAACAGGCUAGCCUGAUUUUUUUUUCUUUCCAAUAGGAGCCCGUUAAAGCAAAUUAAGUGGGAUGAGCUAAUUAGUCCUAUUUAGGCUGUGUUCGGUUUCUCUCGGCUCCUUGAACUCCGCUCCAGGAGCGGACCAGACUUUAGCUAAAUUUGACGGAGCUGCUAAACCCAACUCCCCAACUCCACGGAGCGGGGAAGUUCCAAACAGGGCCUUAAUCUCACCUUGACCAGCCUGAUGUAAAAAUCAUGAAGGUGCCCCCCGGGUGAUCUUUCGUUCUUACCUUUUAACAUUGUGACGGCUUGAAUAAAGAUUUGCGAGGUUGCUUAAGAAAAACGGUGCUGCAACCGAUGAUAUAGAUGUAAAAAAAUUACUCGAGUUUUCUCACUGAUGUAAAAUAGGGCACUUGUUGGUGCAAAUUUACAUCACCUGCGCUCGAGCAACUGCCUGGCGCCCCUCGCGCCCGCCGCACCCCGGCUCGCCGAAACCCACCCGCCUAACCCCGCCGCACUCCUAAUUUAUUAAUGUAAGGUUUAAGUCGAGAUACAUCCCUAGAUUUUACCGAAAUGCACAUCACGUGAUGUGAGGGUUGGUAUUUUCUGCAAGUGUUAUCGACGAUGAAGAUGUCUGGAGCAAGAAUGGAGUUCUCCAGCCGUAUCAAAGAAGGAAAUUGUCCAUCUUAGAGAUUUGUCCACCAGGUGCACCAUUGAACUACGCUGCUGCUUCACCACAUAAUUCAAUCAUCUUCAGAUUCUAUAAGCACAGCUUUCUUCUUCUUUAAUGCCUAACGUGUGCCUUUGAAAAGCACAGCAAGUCUGAAACUUCCGUCAGUUGGAAUAACCAAGAAAGAUGCCGAAACCAAGAGCGUCUUUAGCUGGCCACAGCAUCGAUUUCAGAUUUAUUUAGGUGAUACAAGUACCAGUUCCUGAACUGAGAACACCUACGUACAGUAACCAUGAGCACCUGCGGCAGCAAUGGACUCAAAUGGAGGGUUUAUUCAGAGUUCAGCACAUCUGAACUUUCAGAUGACCUCGUUAAGCUGGAUGAGCAUCUUGUAGAGACCCGGUGCGUUCAC